AUUGAACGCUGGCGGCAUGCUUUACACAUGCAAGUCGAACGGCAGCAGGGUGAGACUUGCUUCUCUGCCGGCGCGUGUCGCGCGGGUGAGUAAUACACCGGGACGUGUCGAGUUUCGGGGGAUAACAAGCAGAGAGGGUGGCUAAUACCGCAUAUAUUCUGAGCAGGAAAGAUGGGGAGCUAGUAAUAGCCCUCGCGCUUUUUGAACGGCAGAUGGCGGAUUAGCUAGUUGGUGAGGUAAAGGCUCACCAAGGCGAAGAUCUGUAGCGGGUCUGAGAGGAUGAUCCGCCACACUGGGACUGAGACACGGCCCAGACUCCUACGGGAGGCAGCAGUGGGGAAUUUUGGACAAUGGGGGCAACCCUGAUCCAGCCAUGCCGCGUGUAUGAAGAAGGCCUUAGGGUUGUAAAGUACUUUUGUUAGGGAAGAAAAGUCAGCUGUGAAUAACGGCUGAUACUGACGGUACCUAAAGAAUAAGCACCGGCUAACUACGUG
rnacentral:rRNA from 1 species